UACGAAGGGGGCAAGCGUUGUUCGGAAUUACUGGGCGUAAAGGGCUCGUAGGUGGCCAACUAAGUCAGACGUGAAAUCCCUCGGCUUAACCUGGGAAUGGCCUAUGUGACUGGCAGGCUAGAGGAUGGCAGAGGGAGGCGGAAUUCCACGUGUAGCAGUGAAAUGCGUAGAGAUGUGGAGGAACACCGAUGGCGAAGGCAGCCUCCUGGGCCAAUUCUGACGCUCAGGCACGAAAGCGUGGGGAUCAAACAGG
rnacentral:rRNA from 1 species